rnacentral:rRNA from 1 species
UGACCCCAUGCCGAACUCAGAAGUGAAACGCCGUAGCGCCGAUGGUAGUGUGGGGUCUCCCCAUGCGAGAGUAGGGAACUGCCAGGU